rnacentral:rRNA from 1 species
ACGGGGGGAGCAAGCGUUGUUCGGAUUUACUGGGCGUAAAGGGCGCGUAGGCGGCCAGCGCAAGUCAGUUGUGAAAUCUCCGGGCUUAACUCGGAAAGGUCAACUGAUACUGCGCGGCUAGAGUGCGGAAGGGGCAACUGGGAUUCUUGGUGUAGCGGUGAAAUGCGUAGAUAUCAAGAGGAACACCUGCGGCGAAGGCGGGUUGCUGGGCCGGCACUGACGCUGAUGCGCGAAAGCCAGGGGAGCGAACGGGA